rnacentral:rRNA from 1 species
CCUACGGGAGGCAGCAGUAGGGAAUCUUCCACAAUGGACGAAAGUCUGAUGGAGCAACGCCGCGUGAGCGAUGAAGGCCUUCGGGUCGUAAAGCUCUGUUGUUAGGGAAGAACAAGUACCGGAGUAACUGCCGGUACCUUGACGGUACCUAACCAGAAAGCCACGGCUAACUACGUGCCAGCAGCCGCGGUAAUACGUAGGUGGCAAGCGUUGUCCGGAAUUAUUGGGCGUAAAGCGCGCGCAGGCGGUCCUUUAAGUCUGAUGUGAAAGCCCACGGCUCAACCGUGGAGGGUCAUUGGAAACUGGGGAACUUGAGUGCAGAAGAGGAUAGUGGAAUUCCAAGUGUAGCGGUGAAAUGCGUAGAGAUGUGGAGGAACACCAGUGGCGAAGGCGGCUUUUUGGUCUGUAACUGACGCUGAGGCGCGAAAGCGUGGGGAGCAAACAGGAUUAGAUACCCUGGUAGUCCACGCCGUAAACGAUGAGUGCUAAGUGUUAGAGGGUUUCCGCCCUUUAGUGCUGCAGCUAACGCAUUAAGCACUCCGCCUGGGGAGUACGGUCGCAAGACUGAAACUCAAAGGAAUUGACGG